rnacentral:lncRNA from 1 species
CACUAAGAAAAUAAAUCUACCUUCCUUGCUCACACCAGUGGUGAAAUAUGUUCUUGCCUCUUAAGCAGAUGUCCUUUCCCCUUCCCUCUUAGCUGCAAGGAUGCAAAGAGCCAUUCAAUCCAUGGCUGUCACUGAGCCCUUACUCAGGAGAGUAUAUGAAAUCUAGACACCUGCGUAUUGUAUUUUGUAAACAUUUACUCUAGUCAUAGACUCACAGAGUAACUGAUCAGACAGUCAGUGUCUCUAAUAAUCUAGUGGUUUACAACAGGGAAUCAUGUGGAAAAAAACCAACAAGUCCAUCUUUACAACCACACUAACGAUUAGCAGAAACAUGCAUUCUUUGAGCUCCAUAUUGUUUUCUCUCUGAUGGUAUCAUGAGGUUUGCCUCUGCUAGAUUACCUAUAACUAAUUACAACCUGAAAAUGGGAGAAUUUAAGUAUCCUGAGCUAGAUAUUCUGGAACUCAAAGCACUUUGUUCUGUUUUGUUGUUUUUGUUCAUAGCUCUCUUAACUGGGGAAAGAAGAAAGGAAUUUAGUCUUCUACAAAAAAGUCACAAGGAGAUGAGAAUUAACAAUUACAAAGCCAGAAGGGCAGUAGAAAACCCAGUUUGGGGGGUCAAAUAGAUCUUAUUUUAAAUUGAGGCUUUUUUGUUCAUUAAUUUAUGGCCUCGUACGUAAUCAAAUGUCCUCAACUCAUUCAAUCUUUAAAUGAUAUUGUUGUUAAAGCACUGUUGUGAUAGAGUAUGAAUGCAUAUUUCAAGCCAUAUUAUAAAUGCUUACUAUUCAAUAACUAUUAUUCAUUGCACUAAUUGACAUUUGUAGAAUAAUUAGCAUGAAUGAUCCUCAUAUAGACCAAAAAAGCACAUUUCACAGUGAUAAUUCCCAUUGAAUAGUUAACACAUCAGGGGUCAGAAAGGUUGGAUGACUGCCAGCAGGUGUCCAGCUAGGAAAUGGAAACAAGACCUAAAAUUAGCUCUUGAGCCACUUGGGAAGAAAAUUGGACCUUCUUACAAAAUAAACACCUAGUAGCCCCAUCUUAUCCAUAGUUUCACUUUCUAGGAUUUAAGUUACCUGUGGUCAGCCACAAUCUGGAAAUACUAAAUAGAAGAUUCCAGAAAGAACUCAGACAUCAUUCUGAGUAGGGUGUCAUCUCUCACCAUCCUGCUCCUUCCCACGCAGAAUCCCCCACCAUCACCACCAUUAUCAUCACCAUGGCUCAACCACCGGGGUCUCCCAAAGGAGAUGACCCUCCUGACCUAGGGACUGAGGGUCAAGGGGAGCCUAACACUACAUUGCAAUGCUACCAUGUUAUCCUCCCUUCAUCUCAUCACAUAGGCACUUUACCAUCUCACAUCAUCACAAGAAUGGUGAGGACAGUACAAUAAGACAUUCUGAGAGAGAGGCCAGCAUCACAUAACUUUCACUUCAGUAUAUUAUUAUAAUUGUUAUACAUUAUUAUUAAUUAUUAUUUCUUAUUGUGUCUAAUUUAUAAACUGAACCUAUCAUAGGUAGGUAUGUAUAGGAAAAAGCACAGUAUACAUAGGGUUCGGUACCAUCCGUGGUUUCAGGUGUCCAGUGUAGAUUUUAAGGCAUACCCCCACAGAUGGGGGGAGUUGUACUUUUACAAAAUGACCCAGCAAUCAUGCUCAUUGGUGUUUACCCAAAGGAGUUGAAAAUUUACGAAUACACAAAAACCUGCACACCAAUGUUUAUCAGAGUUAUGUUCAUUAACCACCCAAACUUGGUAGCUACCAGAUGUCCUUCAGUAGGUGAAGGAGUAAAUAAACUGUGGGCUAUCCAAACAAUGGUAUAUUAUUCAGCUAAAAAAUAAAUGACCUCUUGAGCAUGAAAUGACAUGGAGGAACCUGGCAUGCAUGUUACUAAGUCAAAGAGUCUAGUCUGAAAAGGCUAUGUAAUAUUUGAUCCCAACUAUAUGACACUCCAGAAAAGGCAAAACUAUGGGGACAGUAAAAAGAUCAGUGGUUGCCAGGAGUGAGGGAGGAGGAAUGAAUAGACAGACCAAGGGGCAGGGGGUUUAGGGCAGUGAAUCUACUCUGUGAUGUCAAAAUGGUGGACACAUGCCAUUAUCCAUGUGUCCAAACCCAUAAAUUGUCCAAGAGUGAAGCCCAGUGUAAACCCCGGAUUUAGGUGAUGGUGACAUGUCAACAUACUUUCAUUAAACAUACCAUCUUGUGGGGAUGUUGACACUGCAGGAGACUGUGCAUGUGUGGCGGCACCAGGUUCAUGGGAAAUCUCUGUAGCAUCCUCUUAAUUUUUCUGAACUGCAAAUGGUUCUAAAAUUGUUUUAAUUUUUUUAAAAAAAGAAAACAACAACUAUAGGGAGCAAAAUUUGCCACUUCAAAAUGUGUCUCCUUGGCAUGAGGAUUAACUUAGGCUGAUUAUUUUUAAGAAAGAGAAGACUUAGAACAUGCUACUAUUUACCUCCUCCUUAACUGCUUAAAAGAAUCAGAUGGAGAACCUGUUCUAGGCAACAGAGCUCUCACCAGAGACACCUGCUAAGACCAUGGGCUAUGUGUGGUGGGAACCUGCAGGGCCUGGAGAUCAGAGUCCACUUUGUGUCCAUUGCCUCUGAGGGCCCAGCAAACAUCCAGAAGGAUGAGGCAGGGGAAAAUGUCUUCCUUUCCAACACAACAAAUUAGCUCUUUAAGAAAAUGUAGGAACAACAACAAAAUAAACUGACUCCAGGGUACCAGAGUUUCCACUCACAUUUGUGCUGCCUUCCUUAGGCCAUGUCUAGAGUCCACUAAACACCAAUUAUUCCAAAUCCCAAAAGCACCAACAAUCAGACUAUACUCUUCACAAAGACAUCAUAGCUUCAUUUUCAUUGCAUAUAAAAUUCUGAACAUUUUUUAACUUAAAGACAUCUCAUUUGAGGAUUAGAAUUGUAGAUUGUUUUCUGUCUAUAAUUAAACUGUAAGUAUAUUCAAAGACAUUUUAGUUUUGCAGUACUUAGCUUAGAAACACCUACAUCUCAUUUUCUUUGCAGAUAUUGAAAAUAAACUCUGCAUCUAUAGCUAUUUUUUACUGUAUAUUUUUGCACAGUGUAGCUCUUCUGUGACUCACACUUUUGCAAAUGAGCAUUUCAUUUUUUCUCUUUAAUUUGAAACAAAAAAAUUUGAAAGGACAGAAAAUUUGGUUAUAUCAUUUUCCUGUUAAUCUAGUUAUCAAGAUUCCUGGUUAUAUGCAUUUUCAUAAAGUUCACCAAAUUGAAUUUAGAAAGCACUAAAGCUCUUUUUUUUCAAUAAAUACAUUUACCUUAGAAAGUUAUAUGACAUCCAUGCUUUGAUUUUAGAGGAGGAAAAAAGUACACAUAUUGAGAGUCUUACGAACAAAAGAACAAAAGAAUUCUUAAAAAAAAAAUCACUUUUUUUUGCUGCUUAGGACAACUUCAGAUUAGAAGGCAUUGACUCAUAACAGUGCUGCUGUCUGGAAAUCAGAGCAUUAAGUCCAAUUAUAAAUUUGGACCCUUCUACUAAUUUACAUAAAUGUGUAUUAAGUCAAUGAAAUGCAUAGCUUUUGACUUACAGAGUGAACAUGUCACUAGUCAUCAGCAAAUUCAUCUCCCCCAGCUGGAAUUUCACAGAUAAUCAAGAUAAUACCACCAGCAAUAAACCCUGCCUUCAUAAUAUGAAGAACCACGUUCAGCAGGAGAUGUUAAGACACCCAUUUACAAAAGAAGAGACCAAAUGAGUAUGUGAAGGAGCUUAGAGCCACACAGGGUGAGGGUGGGCUCUGGCCCAGGCUUUCCCCAGGGCCCUCACCUGACCUGGCUGUUGGGGCCAGAACUACAUUCAGACUCUGAGAUCUCAUUUGCUGAGGCAUUGGUGAUCUGCCUGCUGGACAGAUUAAACCAUUUUUGUCAUUAAAUAAUAAGAAUUUAAUUAAUAAUGAUAAUAAGCCUUAUGCAACUUGCUGUUAUUUCUAGUGCUCAGCCACUAGUCGUCCCACUUCAUGGACUAGCACUUUUAUAUUCUUGUACCUCCCUUUACUUGGCUCUGUUCCAAGAAGCUCAAGUCAUUCCAAAGCAAAGCCAGUCCAAAGCCAAAACUCAUGAAAGUAUAAGUACCAGGCCUCCAAUAUUAAAGGGAGCUUCAAACAAGCCAGGCCUCCCUGGUGCACCCUGGUUGUGCCUUGCAUGGAAGCGCUGAGAGAAGGACAUGGCCUUGGCAAUACCAGCCUGAAGUUGUCCUGGCAUCCGUGAAAUCACACCUCCAAAGCAGCACUCCAUGUACGCUUUCGUGAUGGAUUUCCAUACACCAUACUGGGCAGAAAAUCAGACUUGCCCAAUGCAAAGUAAAAGUCAAAAUCUUUGAGUCUGUUUCUGCUCUGCACAUAAGUUCAUUUGUAUCCUUUUUAUAAGAUUCCACAUAUAAGUGAUAUCAUAUGAUGUUUGUCUUCACUGUCUAACUCCAUUUUGUAUGAUUCACAGACUUUGAAAAACUCAUGUUUGAAAGAUCAAGAUGGUGGAGGAGUAAAACGUCGCACUCACCUUCUCCCACAAACAGAUAAAAAAAAAAUACAUCUAUAUGUAAAAUGACUUGCACAGGAGUUCCCGUCGUGGCGCAGUGGUUAACGAAUCCGACUAGGAACCAUUAGUUGCGGGUUCGGUCCCUGCCCUUGCUCAGUGGGUUAAUGAUCCGGCGUUGCCGUGAGCUGUGGUGUAGGUCGCAGACGCGGCUCAGAUCCCGCGUUGCUGUGGCUCUGGCAUAGGCCAGUGGCUACAGCUCCGAUUCAACCCCUAGCCUGGGAACCUCCAUAUGCCGUGGGAGCGGCCCAAGAAAUAGCAACAACAACAACAACAAAAGACAAAAAAAAAAAAAAAAAAAAAAAAA